AUUGAACGCUGGCGGCAGGCCUAACACAUGCAAGUCGAACGGCAGCACAGAAGAGCUUGCUCUUUGGGUGGCGAGUGGCGGACGGGUGAGUAAUGUCUGGGAAACUGCCCGAUGGAGGGGGAUAACUACUGGAAACGGUAGCUAAUACCGCAUAACGUCGCGAGACCAAAGUGGGGGACCUUCGGGCCUCACACCAUCGGAUGUGCCCAGAUGGGAUUAGCUAGUAGGUGGGGUAAUGGCUCACCUAGGCGACGAUCCCUAGCUGGUCUGAGGGGAUGACCAGCCACACUGGAACUGAGACACGGUCCAGACUCCUACGGGGGGCAGCAGUGGGGAAUAUUGCGCAAUGGCGCAAGCCUGAUGCAGCCAUGCCGCGUGUAUGAAGAAGGCCUUCGGGUUGUAAAGUACUUUCAGCGGGGAGGAAGGCGGUGAGGUUAAUAACCUCGCCGAUUGACGUUACCCGCAGAAGAAGCACCGGCUAACUCCGUGCCAGCAGCCGCCGUAA
rnacentral:rRNA from 1 species